GACGAACGCUGGCGGCGUGCUUAACACAUGCAAGUCGAACGGAAAGGCCCUGCUUGCAGGGUACUCGAGUGGCGAACGGGUGAGUAACACGUGGGUGAUCUGCCCUGCACUUCGGGAUAAGCCUGGGAAACUGGGUCUAAUACCGGAUAGGAGCCAUUUUUAGUGUGAUGGUUGGAAAGUUUUUUUCGGUGUAGGAUGAGCUCGCGGCCUAUCAGCUUGUUGGUGGGGUAAUGGCCUACCAAGGCGGCGACGGGUAGCCGGCCUGAGAGGGUGGACGGCCACAUUGGGACUGAGAUACGGCCCAGACUCCUACGGGAGGCAGCAGUGGGGAAUAUUGCACAAUGGGCGCAAGCCUGAUGCAGCGGCGCCGCGUGGGGGAUGACGGCCUUCGGGUUGUAAACUCCUUUCGCUAGGGACGAAGCUUUUUGUGACGGUACCUAGAUAAGAAGCACCGGCUAACUACGUG
rnacentral:rRNA from 1 species